rnacentral:rRNA from 1 species
GCAAGUCGAGGGGUAACAGGAAAAAGCUUGCUUUUUCGCUGACGACCGGCGCACGGGUGCGUAACGCGUAUACAAUCUACCUUUUGCUGAGGGAUAGCCCAGAGAAAUUUGGAUUAAUGCCUCAUAGUAUGUCGACCUCGCAUGAGGAUGAUAUUAAAGGUUACGGCAAAAGAUGAGUAUGCGUUCUAUUAGCUAGAUGGUGUGGUAACGGCACACCAUGGCAACGAUAGAUAGGGGCCCUGAGAGGGGGAUC